ACUACGACGAGAAAAGGAAAAUACCGAGAUGCGACUAGAAACGAUAUCACAAACUUAGGGAUCUGGGGUCUCACCAAAUAGGUGCAACCCCACCCCACCGAGAAACAAAAAUACCGAGAAGCAUGUGCAAAAUAUUGUCAAUGUAGGUCUCCAUCGUCUUAACCGAGCUCCAGCCUUCCAACGGUCACAACCCCAUCGUUUCCGUCGUCAUCUCCGAGCUCCAGCCUUCCAAUGGUCACAACCCAUCGCCAUCAUCUCCGGCAAAUGUAUGUCGAGGGCGGCAUUAUUCUAUCCUAUGUUUAACACUUGGUCCCAUUGUUUGUACUUUUCCCUAGUUUGGACAUCAUUUCGUUUUCUCCACCAGAUGAGAUUCACAAGCACAACAGCCAACUUUCGUCUUCCUCAUCUCCGAUGAAGGGAUUCUGCAAAACAGAAGGAUUCAUGGGUGUUGAUUUCUGCAAAAUGUAAGCAGGCCGGGCUGUAUUGAUUUCUGCAAAACAGAGGGAUUUAUGGGUGUUUUCUUUAUUAAAAGGCAUUCAUGAUUUUAAUUUGUGAUACCCAUUCCAAGUGAGGAUAGAAUAGAAUGGGUCAUGUUGGUCUGUGCAUGGUGUCACAAGUGUCAAUGUGUUGGUCAAAGUGAACUUGCUACUAGGACAAAUAUAGGUGCUAUUUAGAUACUUGGUUGCAAAUAUAAGAGCCAUGUAAGCACGACACAUGGCAACGUUCAAAUAUUAUUGUGUCAUAUCAUUCCAAAAGCAAGUCUUAUGUUGUGAAA